AGCCACGCAGUGAGCACAAAGCGAAUUAUUCUUUUGCCUUUUACUAAAGAUUACCGCGUGUGCACUGCAAUUAGUGGUAUAUGUCAUUUUUUGGAGGGGUUCUCUUCUUUAGAGUACC
rnacentral:snRNA from 1 species